CACCUUUCGGUCCAAGCAGCAGCUUCUCUGCUCCUUCUGGAAUCUCUCCCUGGUUCAGCUCGCCUGCUUCCACUCCUGCCUCCACCAUGUCCAUCAGGGUGACCCAGAAGUCCUACAGGGUGUCCACCACUGGCCCCGGGGCCUUCAGCAGCCGCUCCUUCACGAGUGGGCCCAGUGCCCGCUCGAGCUCCUCGAGCUUCUCCCGAGUGAGCAGCACUGGCUUCCGCGGUGGCCUGGGUGCAGGCUAUGCGGGGGCCAGCGGCAUAGGCCCGGGAGGCAUCACCGCCAUCACCAUCAACCAGAGCCUGCUGAACCCCAUUAAGCUGGACAUGGACCCCAACAUCCAGGCCGUGCGUACCCAGGAGAAGGAGCAGAUCAAGACCCUCAACAACAAGUUUGCUUCCUUCAUCGACAAGGUGCGGUUCCUGGAGCAGCAGAACAAGAUGCUGGAGACCAAGUGGAGCCUCCUGCAGCAGCUGAAAACGGCUCGGAGCAACAUGGACAACAUGUUUGAGAGCUACAUCAACAACCUGAGGCGGCAGCUGGAGACUCUGGGCCAGGAGAAGCUGAAGCUGGAGGCAGAGCUUGGCAACAUUCAGGGGCCGGUGGAGGACUUCAAGAACAAGUAUGAGGAAGAGAUCAAUAAGCGUACAGAGGUGGAGAAUGAAUUUGUCCUCAUCAAGAAGGAUGUGGAUGAAGCUUACAUGAACAAGGUAGAGCUGGAGUCUCGCCUGGAAGGACUGACUGACGAGAUCCACUUCCUCAGGCAGCUGUAUGAAGAGGAGAUCCGGGAGCUGCAGUCCCAGAUCUCCGACACCUCUGUGGUGCUGUCCAUGGACAACAACCACUCCUUGGACAUGGAUAGCAUCAUCGCUGAGGUCAAGGCGCAGUACGAGGAGAUCGCCAACCGCAGCCGGGCUGAGGCGGAGAGCUUAUACCAGAUCAAGUAUGAGGAGCUGCAGAAGCUGGCUGGGAAGCACGGGGAUGACCUGCGGCGUAUGAAGACUGAGAUCUCCGAGAUGAACCGGAACAUCAGCCGGCUCCAGGCCGAGAUUGAGGGCCUCAAAGGCCAGAGGGCUUCCCUGGAGGCCGCCAUUUUAGAUGCUGAGCAUCGCGGGGAGCAGGCACUCAAGGACGCUUGUGCCAAGCAGCAGCAGCAGCUGGAGGAAGCCCUGCAGAAGGCCAAGCAGGACAUGGCACGGCAGCUGCGUGACUACCAGGAGCUGAUGAACGUCAAACUGGCCCUGGACAUCGAGAUCGCCACCUACUGCAAGCUUACUAGAGGGCGAGGAGAGCUGGCUGGAGUGUGGGAUGCAGAACAUGAGUAUCCACACGAAGACCACAAGCGGCUAUGCAGGUGGUCUGAGCUCUGCCUAUGGGGGCCUCACAAGCCCCAGCCUCAGCUACAGCCUGGGCUCCAGCUUUGGCUCUGGCGUGGACUCCACCUUCAGCCGCACCAGCUCCACCAAGGCCGUGGUUGUGAAGAAGACUGAGACCCGCGAUGGGAGGCUGGUAUCUGAGUCCUCUGACGUCCUGCCCAAGUGAACAGCUGCAACAGCC